rnacentral:rRNA from 1 species
GAUGAACGCUGGCGGCGUGCCUAAUACAUGCAAGUCGAGCGAACAGACGAGGAGCUUGCUCCUCUGACGUUAGCGGCGGACGGGUGAGUAACACGUGGAUAACCUACCUAUAAGACUGGGAUAACUUCGGGAAACCGGAGCUAAUACCGGAUAAUAUAUUGAACCGCAUGGUUCAAUAGUGAAAGACGGUUUUGCUGUCACUUAUAGAUGGAUCCGCGCCGCAUUAGCUAGUUGGUAAGGUAACGGCUUACCAAGGCAACGAUGCGUAGCCGACCUGAGAGGGUGAUCGGCCACCCUGGAACUGAGACACGGUCCAGACUCCUACGGGAGGAAGCAGUAGGGAAUCUUCCGCAAUGGGCGAAAGCCUGACGGAGCAACGCCGCGUGAGUGAUGAAGGUCUUCGGAUCGUAAAACUCUGUUAUUAGGGAAGAACAAAUGUGUAAGUAACUAUGCACGUCUUGACGGUACCUAAUCAGAAAGCCACGGCUAACUACGUG